UUGAGGUGUUUCCCCAGAGGCAAUGUAUGGGGUUUGUCCGUCCCCACAUUGUGACCCCCUAGGGCCAAUCUCUAGGACAUUUGACAGAAUUAGAGAGUCUAUGGAAUAACCCCUUUUCUGUGCAAAGGUAGCUGGCCUUCUGAGAAUCUGUAACCUUGGUCUCAUUGGCAUCGUAAGCGGAUUCUGGCCAUAUUUCUGCAGGUCAGUAAUCUGCCGCAUGGCGUUAUGCAGGGGCGGAACUAGGUACUAAUGCUAUCAGGACACCAGGCUGGGGCCACAAGGGCAUCUGUCUUGCAGAUGGAGCAGGAGAAGAAGCUGCGUGUGUCUGUGUAUGUGCAUGUGUAUGGGUGUGUAUGUGCAUGUGUGUGGGGGUGUGUGUGUGUCAGGCACACAUUGCAAAAUGCAGCCCACUUUCUCCCAGUCUGGAGAAAGGAAAGAGCAAUUGCAACGGGAGAGACAGAAAGACCGAAUAACAACAAUUAUGUGCAUAGUUCUUUCAGCGAACACCCUUGCAUUUCAUCCUCACAGUUGCCCCAUGGGAGGGAAUAGCAUCAUGAUAUCGUUUUUUUUGUUUUGUUUUGUUUUUUGUUUUUUGGUUUUUUUUGUUUUUUGUUUUUUGUUUCCUGGGAACCUCUGUGCGCGGUAGGUGUGGCCCUAAAAACCAAAAACCAAAAACAAAAAAACUCAAUUUACAUAAAUGCACAUGUUUGUAUUGAAAUUCUCAUGCCCGAAGAGUCCUUUUGUCUUCAGGCAUUUAUCAUUAAUUCAUACUCAUGUGUUUAGCAUGGAAACUACUGCCAGGCACAGCAUUCUCCAGAAUUUCACGUGAAAGACCAAGAACGUGAUGUCUAGAUGUUUCUCUUAGACUUGUAGAGAAUACAGGUUUCUCUGCUCACUGAUGUUACGCUCUGACUAUUGGAGAGUCCAAAAGAAGCAGUACUCACUAGGCCAGUCUUUCUUUGUGGCUUUGUAUGAUAAGGAAAUUCAGGCACAUUUUCCCAAGGGUAACACCCAGCUUAUAAUUUCCAUUGUCCCUCUACUCUUAAUGAUGUUAUUCCAUUGUAGGGACGUUUUUCGGAAACUAGGACUUCAACCAAGGAAACCCCUCCUUAUUAUGAUUCCCUCUUUCUCAGCUUUUGUUCCUCUAUUUAUGUAUUAACUUAGAGAAAAAUGCCAUAAAUAAAGUAAAAAGAUAAAGGGGAAACAGAGAAAGACUAUUUCCCAUACAUAAAACAGAGGACAGAUGUCCUCGGAUACAAAGAUUACUUACAGAUCAAUAAGAAAAAGAUAGACCACUUCACAGAAAAAUAGGGGAAAAAAUGCUCGGAAUAGACAAUGCUAGAAGAAGAAAUACAGACGGCCAACAAGCAUCUGUUAUGAAGAGAAUCUCAAGCAUAUGUAUAAAGAUAGUCAAAUAAAAUUAAUGAAAUCCCAACAUUUCUCACCUAUGAGGAUGCCAGAGAUUAAAACAGCUUAAUAAGGUCUCAUGUUAGAAGAAGAGAGAGAAGAUCACUCUUUUUUCGUGCUGGUGGGACUGUACAUUGGGACACUCAUUGUGGAAGGCAAUUUGGAAACAUUUCUGGAUAUGUUAGGUAUUUAUACAGAUUUGAUAAUAUUCCAGUUCUAAAAUGUAUCAUACAGAUGUGUUCACUUGGAUGCCAGAGAUGCACGUACAGAGUGUUCACUGUGGUGUUGUUUAUAAUGGCAAAAAAACUGGAAAGAAGCGAAAUGUCUAUCAAUAGGGAACUAGAUAAACAAAUUUUAGAAGACUCAUGUAAGAAAAUACCAUGCAGCUAUUGAAUGGAAUAGGAUCCGUUGUCUACAUGCAUUGAUUUGAGAAGUUCUCCAAGGUAUGGAGUUCCUGUCUGGCUCAGUGGUUAACAAGCCAGAUUGGUAUCCAUGAGGAUGAGGGUUUGAUCGCUGGCCUCGCUCCGUGGGAUGGGGAUCUCGUGUUGCUGUGAGCUGUGAUGUAGGUUGCAGAUGUGGCUUGGAUCCUGCGUUGCUGUGGCUGUGGCCUAGGCCAGCAGCUAAAGCUCUGAUUCAACCCCUAGCCUGGGAACUUCCAUGUACUGUGGGUGUGGUCCUAAAAAGACCAAAAAAAAAAGUUAUCCAAGGUAUAUUAAUAGAUGAAAAAAAGCAGAUUAUACAAUGCAUGCUCCCAUUUCUUUAAAAAAAGGAAAAUACACACAAGUAUAUAUAUGGAUAUAUAUUUUUUAUUUCUGGCUUUAUCCUUCCAUAAAUUGUCUAUGCAUAAAUAAUCAUAUAUAUGCUUUCAUUUUCCUUUGUUUUAAGCAAUGGCUGCCUCUAGGCAUAGAAAUGUAGAUUUUUACUUUUCACACUAUAAGCAUGUAGUACUUAGUUUUUUAAGUCACUAGUAUAUAUUACUUUUAUAAUUUAACAAAACUGAUGUAAAAAAUGAAGAAAGACCAUUAGAAAUGGAUUUGUAAGGAAUAAGCUAGGCACCAUCAUUUUAGUCCCAGUAUGCUGAUCUCGAAGACUUCUGGUUCCCAUUUUGCAGGAAAAUCUGUCCGGCCAAGGAUCUGGGGACCCGAAUUCUAAGCCUCAACUCUACCCCAGAUGAGCUAUGGGAGUUGAGACAAGUCACGUGACUUGGGCAGUAUUGGUGUAAAUGUCCUCAGCUCAAGAUUUUCUCAUAUAUAAUGUGAAGCUACGAUGUCAAAAAGUUCCUUCAGCUCCCGUAUUUGAAAGACUCUGAUUCCAGGCAGGCUUUAAAAGGCUUUCUUAUUUGGGGGUGUGGAUGACGGAACUUCUCCCAGAAGUUCUCUGGGGACCCAGGGGACACUUCUCCGCAACCCUGAGGCUAAACCUAGACAGACCCUGGAGGCCAGGUGGAGGCAGGGGGCCUUAGGAAGUGCCUUGUGAAUUUCUGUGAGCUGCUGGUUUUCUUACGGGGACACACUGGCGUGUACUCCUCCCUUUGCCUUAGUGUAAACUGAGACGCGGGCCUGACUCUGCUUUUGGGGUCUUACCCUCGCUUCCAAAAUUUGGUCUCAUUUAAAACCCAGAACACAUUUGGCCCCCAAGUGCCUUUCCCUUGGAUGUUUCAAAAAUUCUGGUUAAUUGAAGAGAAAUGAAAUUGGGUUUUGAUUCAUUUAUACCUAACUCUUCUUUUAAAAAUCAAAACCCAUAUUUUGAGGACAUCUUUGAUGUCCAGGCAGAAUUUUGAGCCUCUUAAUGAGUUUUCUGGGAGGCUUUUUUUUCUUCUUCUUCUUAAAACAGGAAGUGGUGCUAUGCUACGGGCAAACACAGUCAACCCUGAAAGGCCCCAAUUCAGUUUGAAACCGUAUCACCCAGCAUUUUGCAUGAACCCCGGUGGCCCUUGCUAAUACCUUGCUCUCCCUACUCCUUAGCUGAGAGUAAAAGAUGCCCUCACCUUUCAUCUGAGGGGAAUAACACCAGGGCGGCAGUCACAGUCAGAAGAAGAAAAAGGAGCUGUUUAUGGAGCGCCUACAACGUGCCAAUAUCUGUCUUCCCCCUUACGGACGUGUUCAUGUUUGAUCCUUGUCACGACCUUAGGCUCUCUGUACCCCUUUCAUUCUGGACAGGUGAAGUGACUCACCUGAAGCCGGCAGGAUGGAACGUGGCAAAGCAAUGAGGCCUAAUCCCAUUUGCCUCCAACGUUCGUAGAGCGGAGCCAUUGUAAUCUGUUGCCAGUUGGAUACACACAUCCUCCAAGUGGAGGCUCCAGAUGCAACCCAUCCACUGAGGGCUCCGGGCAGGCGUUGCUGUGGUUGGUCUAAGUGACCCCCACCUGCAGUGCGUACUUGGCCAAUUCCUGGCCUUGAUCCGUGCUCUGCACCCUCUCCUUAAGAAGGCCUAAGCCCUCUGUUGCCCAAGUCAGAGCCCCCGCCUGACUUUACUGGCAGGUGUACUGGACAUCAGGCAGGCAAGCCAGGGCGAGACCAACAGAUUCUGCCUUCCUUGAAUGAGCUACCAAGAUGAUUUUUUAAAAUAAAAAGGUCUUGUACCUCAGUAGAGAAUAAAUAGCACAUUCUUUGAUUUGACAAUGCUUCCUCCUGCUGCCGGCUCUCUUUUUUCCUCUUCUCUCUGGCUCUAACUCUUGCUGUCUUUUUCAUUCUCUUUCACUCAUAUAUACACACAAACUACAUACCCUUAAAAAACCCGAUUUUGGGGAGGGGGGUGUUCUCCAAAACACAAAGAAGGGAAUGUUUUGCAAGGUUAAAAGGAAAUCAUUGAGAAAGGCUAACUUCAGGCUCCAGUUUCUCCUGAAUAGCAUUUCUUGUUAUUUCAAGGCUGAUUGACUUAUAACUGCACCCCCAGCCACCCCACAUCAGUUCCUUUUAUCAGCUCAAGUGAGACUUCCUGUGGACUGGCCCAGCUUCCUGAUGUAUUUCCUUUUUCCUUUGGCAGAACAAAGAAAACCCUAGCUCCAAGGAUCCUUGGAACCAAACAUAAUUUAGCCCUGAAGAAACUAUUAUUUUAAAAUUUUCAUUCUCGGGGCAGAGGGCUGAGUGCCCAGCUUUGCGUUUCUCCCCGCUCCCUCUGUACCGAGAUGGACCCUGUGUGCAGUUAUCAGGGGUUAAGGAGCCACUCAAACUCACCGGAGGUGUAGCUUAAUUUCAUUCAAAGAGGGAAAAUUAGACUGUUCUCUGCACUGAGCACCUCCCCGACCCCAUACACACAUAAGAGCUUCCAGAGCUACACAGACCACCUCUGUGUGGAGGGUUUGCGCUUUUGUUACUUUCAUUCAACAUAACUGCUCAGCUAAGAGAUGCUCUUAUUUAGAGAUUUCAGCCUAUCUGGGUUUGAAGUUCUAGCUCUAGAAGCAUGCAUACAAGAAAGGAAGCUUCACAUUAUUUCCAAAGGGUCAAUGGCUGAAGAAGAAAUCCCCCAAAUUGGGAUAAAGGCAUUGCUUUCCUCUUUUGCUCUGAGGGUGGCAUGUCACCUAUACCACUGGGCCUCGCCACCUAUUCUAUGAAUUCCUUCUGGAAGGCCUUUCCCAUCACCCCGGGUGAGAAGGGAACACUACAGAGAGAGCUGCCGGUAUGUCUGCAUGUUUCUCAAGGCAGGUAUCCCAAGUUGCCCACCUGAGCUCUUCCAAGGCUGUUAGAACACAAGAGGCCAUGGCACAGAAGAG
rnacentral:lncRNA from 1 species